GUGGGGAAUUGUUCACAAUGGGCGCAAGCCUGAUGACGCAACGCCGCGUGGAGGAUGAAGGUCUUCGGAUUGUAAACUCCUGUUGCUCGGGACGAAAAGCUCCGACCCAAUACGUCGGAGUCUGACGGUACCGGGUGAGGAAGCCCCGGCUAACUCUGUGCCAGCAGCCGCGGUAAUACAGAGGGGGCAAGCGUUGUUCGGAAUUACUGGGCGUAAAGGGCGCGUAGGCGGCCUGUUAAGUCGAACGUGAAAUCCCCGGGCUCAACCCGGGAACUGCGUCCGAUACUGGCAGGCUUGAAUCCGGGAGAGGGAUGUGGAAUUCCAGGUGUAGCGGUGAAAUGCGUAGAUAUCUGGAGGAACACCGGUGGCGAAGGCGGCAUCCUGGACCGGCAUUGACGCUGAGGCGCGAAAGCCAGGGGAGCAA
rnacentral:rRNA from 1 species